rnacentral:lncRNA from 1 species
CUUCAGGAAUAAUUUGGAUAUACUGGGAUUUUUUUUAAAAAAGGAAAGCAACAGAAAAUAAAGUACAGGUAACUAAAGAUUGUGAUGCCAUGCCCCACCUGUGAUGCACACAGCUAAGAGGGAACUCCAAGGUAUCAUAGAAUUUGGUAAGAUGGAAACUAACGCAGAGACCCAUACCUGGUCAGGAUGCGGGGCGUACAGGCUGUGGGAUGAAUGUUCAGCCAUGAAGUGGGCAGCUGUGUCACAUCCUCUAUUUCCAAGGGGCAGAGAUGAUGGCAGAAGAGGAGGUGACAUGAUUGACUGUCUGGAGACAGUGGGUGACCACAAGGAAACAGUGAUUUCUGGACAAGAGCGGGUCAGUUGCACAGAUGACAGCGUGCACACAGACUCUACACUCAAGCUCAAGGCAGACAAAAUCCCAGUGUGGACAGAGGAGAACCAGAAUGCAAUGGAUGACAGCUGUAAUCCAGCCUCCAUUCAUGGGGUUCCAUUCAUGCUUCCAGGAUUGUAAAAGGACAUGAUCUCUGAAGAAAAUCAGCAGCAGCAUUCUCAGGGGCCUGUGACUGGAAAACAUGCAAGCAGUGCUGGGCCUGCCAGGAGCAGAUGUGUUCUCUAGCUCUGGACUUGGAAGAAAGCAUGGCUGCAGCAUGCCAGGCAGGAGGCUGCUGCUUCCCAACGUCGGCAGCAAGCCUCUCUCGUCCCUUCAUCUAACUGGAAGCAUGGCUGCUUCCUCUUGCCAAAGGCAGGCUGUCUUGAAUUGCAGGGGUGGAUUGCUGUGAUUA